GGGUCGUAUCUACGUGGGGAUCUAUCACUCGGCGGUGUGGGUUACCUCCCUGCUACGGCGGGUUGGAGGACUGCGCCCGGGACAGGCCGGACCUUGGGGGAGCCCACGAGCCGCGUGGGAGCGUAGCGGUUUCCGGUGGAACUGGCGCCGGAGGCCCUCAGCGGUUUGUACCCACGCUUUCCUCCAUUUGAGCCCCCGCUCAGUUUGCUAGCAAAACCCGGCCCGUGGUAUGCCGUGACUGCGGAAAAUUUCGAAAGAAACACUCUGUAAGGUGGUAUGAGUCAUGACGCACGCAGGGAGAGGCUAAGGCUUA
rnacentral:misc_RNA from 1 species